UGUAUGGAGCCUUGCCAAUAGCUGUGUGGGGCAGGCACAGGUGUGUGUAGUUGUGCUGUUGGCCAUCAGUGCCCAGAGGGAUCAGGGCAUGAGCCCUGAUCAGUCUGGGUGUGCAGAAGGAGCGUUAGGAUCUUGUGGUGAUGAAAAGGUUGUGAGGACUGAGCGAAUGAGUGGCUGGCAAUCUACCUGGUUUGGAGGCGACCCCCUGGUUUUGCUGCUCUCUGAAUCCUCUACCCAUCUGGGAAGGUAACAGUGAGACGUACCAUCUGCAGCACACACAGCAGCUAUUGGAGGCUACUACUGACAGUUUGCACUACAGUUUUUUUGGUGAGCGAGAAGCCAGGUAUAUUGUACAGUAGGAUAUUUCUGUGCUUGAGCUGCUGAAUUUCACAAUCUGGUCCUUCGGCAACCCCCCACGAUUCCUCUUCCAAUUGCCUCCGAGUUCUGGGCUUACUUUUGGCACAGUCUCCUCGACGCAUUUUGCUGAGGAUGGUAGAGCAGUAAAUGGAAUCUCUGAAAACUAAUUAUUUUGCUCCUAUGUGACUCAAGAAUGAGAAAGGAGAGAAGAAUUAAGUACAGCUAAAGGAAUUUACAUUUCUUUUGGAGAAGUUUGCAGAGGGACCACACAAACGAUGGGAGAUCUUUGUUGUAUUCCAUUGUUUAUUCUACCUACAAUACUUCUGAGUCAUGUGCAUCCCUCCCCUCCCUUCCCCCAAUAAGAAGAUGGGCAAUAUGCACUGACUUCUGUUCUAGAUGGAGAUGAAAUAACACACAAGAAACUUCUGAUGCAUACUCCUCCACACCAGCCAGUCCAAAAAUAAUUUGAGAAGCGUUAAGCAAGAGCUGAGUCACUAAAUCAACCAUGAAGUUUUAACUUGCUGUAUUGGACCUCAUGUCUGACUUUGCAUUGUUUCACACAGCCCCUGGUUCCCAGUGGGUGUGAAGUUCCAGCCAUGGAUCUUAUGGAAGCUUGUGUUAAUACAUCAUGUUACAAAUCAUGCUCUGGAAUCACAGGGUUGAUUGUUUUUCCCUCGGGGCAGGAAACAACCAAAAGAAAAGUGUGGGAUUGGUCUGACUAAUAAAGAUAAAUAUU